rnacentral:rRNA from 1 species
UAACGCGAAGAACCUUACCAGGUCUUGACAUACUAUGCAAAUCUAAGAGAUUAGACGUUCCCUUCGGGGACAUGGAUACAGGUGGUGCAUGGUUGUCGUCAGCUCGUGUCGUGAGAUGUUGGGUUAAGUCCCGCAACGAGCGCAACCCUUAUUAUCAGUUGCCAGCAUUCAGUUGGGCACUCUGACAAGACUGCCGGUGACAAACCGGAGGAAGGUGGGGAUGACGUCAAAUCAUCAUGCCCCUUAUGACCUGGGCUACACACGUGCUACAAUGGACGAUACAACGAAUUGCUAGACCGCGAGGUUAAGCUAAUCUCUUAAAGUCGUUCUCAGUUCGGAUUGCAGGCUGCAACUCGCCUGCAUGAAGUUGGAAUCGCUAGUAAUCGCGGAUCAGC